GAAGAUGUUAACAUUUUAAUCUUAUAGGAAAACCAGCCGACUUAAUCGAUAAUAACAAUCUCCAGAUUGGGUUCCUUCAAUAAAUAUGGGCUAUAAACACAAUGAAAUAAAAAAAUGAAUAACCAUUUUCAAUUUCUGAUAGAAAGAAUAGUCUUUUACAUCGAAAUAAGUUCCCCAAAAUCUAGAAUGGAGUGGUAUCAAAGGAGAAUUAAAGGAAAAAAUAUUUAUAUUGAAAUUAUUUAUAAGGCACUGGACUGUCUUAAAUUCUACAAUAAUACUAGAAUCAGCUGAGAGAAGUGGUCUACAAAAAACCAGGAAGGAAACGGAAUAUGUGGCUACGAAAGGCAAAAGAAAGGUUUACAAAGCAAAUGUGACACAUUUUUUUGAAAUAUUUAGGAAUAUCAGUAAAUUGCAUUAAAAAAAUGUAUGAAAAGAUUUUGUUCAAUAAAAAUGUUUAUAUUUA